rnacentral:tRNA from 1 species
GGAGAGGUGCUGGAGUGGUCUAUCAGGCACGCCUGGAAAGCGUGAGUCGGGGCAACCUGACCGUGGGUUCGAACCCCACCCUCUCCG